rnacentral:rRNA from 1 species
GACGAACGCUGGCGGCGUGCUUAACACAUGCAAGUCGAACGGUGAAGGGGAGCUUGCUCCCCGGAUCAGUGGCGAACGGGUGAGUAACACGUGGGCAACCUGCCCCUGACUCUGGGAUAACGCUUCGAAAGAGGUGCUAAUACCGGAUACGAACUCCCUUGGCAUCUUGGGAGUUGGAAAGUUUUUCGGUCAGGGAUGGGCCCGCGGCCUAUCAGCUUGUUGGUGAGGUAACGGCUCACCAAGGCGACGACGGGUAGCCGGCCUGAGAGGGCGACCGGCCACACUGGGACUGAGACACGGCCCAGACUCCUACGGGAGGCAGCAGUGGGGAAUAUUGCGCAAUGGGCGAAAGCCUGACGCAGCAACGCCGCGUGAGGGAUGACGGCCUUCGGGUUGUAAACCUCUUUCAGCAGGGAAGAAGCGAAAGUGACGGUACCUGCAGAAGAAGCAUCGGCUAACUACGUGCCAGCCGCCGCAGUAACAC